GAACGAUGGCCGGUCACUUCCUCCUUGUGCCACACUCCUGUGAAGCUGAACAAGAACAGCCAGUGUUGCUGCCAAGAUUUAUCAGGUCUCCAUGGUUAACUCAUUGAAGUGUUUAAAAUGCAAACAAUCCUUGGAUGAAGACACAGUUUUCUUGGAUAUACCUUUAUCUGUUUGCUCGGCUAAUGAUGCAGAGAAGUUUGAUUCCAUGAUGAGUCUGUAGUUCUUCAUGCUGCAAAUCAGAGGAGCAACUGAAACAGCUGAAUGAGAUACUAUUUUAAGCACUUGCCACAAAUUCUUACAUUUCAACUGAAGCGCUUUGGAUUUGAUUACAAUUACAUGGCAAAUCAGAAAAUUACAGAUUGCAUUACUGUUCCCCCAGUUUGGAAUUUACAAGAUCUCAGAUCAGUCAGAGGAAGUUUUUAAGGACAAGGAGAAGUGAUGCUGUCAAGAAAUGCUUGCAGAUUCCAAACAAAAAGAACCUUCCUGGCCAACAUCUGCCAAUCACCAAAGUGGAGAGGGAGUUCCAUCAACCCCAGUCCCUGACAAUUUGCUGAUCUGUAACACAACACUGCAUGCUGUGUUGCUUAAGACAAUCAAGGACAUAGAAUCUCUAAAGAAUAAUUGACCAAGAUUUUCCUGCAUUAGAGAUCUUGAGAUUUUUAGCAGUAUUGUGAUUGGAUGGAAAAUAAUUCCUGCUAAAAUUUCUUUCAGGAAGAUUUUUGGUAAGCUUGGAUGUGUCAGUCCUGUUCAUGGGUUGGGUGGAGGAAAAGAACUGUUUCACCUUCAAUGAGCUAUCUAUUGUCUCUGUAUUUUGCAUUUGAUGUGAUGGUACUUGGGUCACUGUAGGUUCUACAUACUUAAAAACCUGAGUAUGUGAUCUGUAUAAUUCUCCAAUUAGAUUUAUACUCAAUGUGCAAUUAACAUUUGAAUAGAGUUUGUUAUAAAUAUUCUGUUUAAAUUGACAGUCCACUUUUCCAUAUAUAUACUUGCAUAUUCUAUACCUUGACUGGCAUUUCCCAGAAGAAAUGAGUUAGCAACAAAAUUAAUCUUGAAAUGCACUCACACUACCAUUUUGGCAAUGAUGCAAAGUGGUUUUGACCACGUAACCAGGCUAAAAUUGUGGAGUGUAAGUGAGGUAUUAAUGUUUGAAAUGAUUGAUUUUAACUUGACAAUCUAAUUCAGGUUACAUUCAGCAGUGUUAGUAUGUUGACAAAGUGAUGAACGUUGACAUCCAUAAAAAUACCUGUAGUACGAAAGCUAGUGAAUCACUCCUUCACAUCUCUUCCACUCUGGUGCACUACAUUCAUCUGAGCAACAGGGUCUCCUUUAUAAAUAACUUUACUGAGCACCAAUGGUCAGGAUGUCAGGAUGUUGAGGCAACUCUUCUCUGUUUCCAUUUGAUUUUUCCAACCAAGCUUUGACACUGUCUUUUGACACCUUCACUGUUACAGUGAGGGCUCCUGCAAGCCUGAGGAAUAGUUCCUCAUCUUCUGUCUUUAACUGUCUCGUUUAUUCUCCAUUGAUAAGCAUAGACAUGCCUGCUGACUAUACACAGCAGGCCUGGUAAUUGGUUUACUAAUUCACAUGCACUGAGAUAUAGUGAUACACUUCUGUUUGCAUGACAUCCAGGCAGAUUGAGCCAUACACAGCAACACGCACAGUUCAUAAUUUUCUUACUGUGUCUUUCUCACCAACUGUCAGUGACAAAAAUCACUGCUUUAUGAACACUAGUGCAUGUAGCUGAUGCUAUUUUCAAAACAGUUCACUCAAAGCAUGGUGUAGCGUCCAGCGGCCACACAAGGGCACACAUCUGACACUAGUUAGACACCGUUCAGCAACAGUCUCUUGCUCAAAUUAAACGAGGGUAGAUUUAGUGUUAUUUCUCUUUCUGGCCUUCUUCUGGCUCAGUCUUGGGUCUUUGUGGGUGGAGGGUGGAGAGUCUCUCUGUAUAUUUAGUUUUUUCAUUUGGGCUGACUUAAAACUACAAAGAUGUCUGCAGUGUUGUCACCUCUGGUUCCUCCCUGAACUUUUGUUCCUCUUCCAGGUUCAUGAGUUCACAUUAUGGUUAACUCUUUACAUACCAAAGGGUUGAUUCUAUGAAAUUAUGGCUCUGAUUAUUAAUUUUGUCUCUUGGAAUACAAAUGAUUUAAACCAUCUGAUUAAACAGAAGAAGACAUUUAAACUAUUCCAAAGACUGAAUGCUCAUAUUAUUUUUGUACAAGAAACUCAUGUGAGGAAAGAGGAUAAUCAGCGUUUUUUCAGGUUUUGGAGGGUCAACCGUUCACUCAAAUUUGCAUGCUAAAGUGAAAGGAGUUUGAAUUUUUAUUGAUUCAUCAAUUACAUUUGUGCAUCAUCAUACGGUUUCUGAUCCGAAUGGUAGAUUUUUGUUUAUUACUGGGUUACUUUGUAACAGAAAAGUGGUUAUGGCUAAUGUUUACGCUCCAAAUAUGGAUUAUACCAAACUUUUUAAGAAUUUGUUGACGUUUUCCCUGAUCUAAAUGAAUAUAUGCUGAUAAUGGUUGGUGAUUUUAAUUGUUGUUUGAAUCCUUCGAUGGAUAGAUCCAUAUCUACUCAAGCCUUACCAAACAAGUCAUUUACUCUUAUCAAUUCCUUCAUGAAUGAUUCUGGAAUUUUGGAUAUUUGGAGACUUGUACACCCCAAGGAUAAAGUGUUCUCAUUUUUUUCACACGUUUAUCAUUCUUACUCUAGAAUUGAUUACUUUUUUAUUGAAUCUCAUCUCAUUCCAUCUGUGAUUGACUGUGACUAUGACAUUAUUGCCAUUUCUGCUCAUGCUCCAAUGAAACUUUCUAUCAAAUUAAUGGA